rnacentral:lncRNA from 1 species
AAAUAAAAAGAGAUCAAAGAGAGACUUAUGGCAAGAAAUGGUAUGACAUAUGUGAUUGCAACGUUAACAAUUGGAAUGAUUAUUUGUUCCACCAUUAUUGCUGAAUUUGAUGACACUAUUCCUAAAGAGUUUUGGAUUUCAUCUUAUUACAUUAAUACUAGUGCAUCUGAGCUGGAAAGGUGUUGGAAGAAAUGCCAGAAUACCUAUCACCCUGAAAGUGAAAAACUGAAGAAAUGCAUGGAUAAGUGUUUUGCUAAGUAUGGCCCGAAAAUAAUCAGAAAAGAAUCAGAAAAAAAAAUAUAAAAUUUAUGUAUCUUAUAUCAUAUUGUAUCUUGUAUUUCUGUCAGUGUUUAUGCAUCAUAAUAUAUAUGUAUAUAAAUAAUUGAUGUGAUAAUCUAUCCAUUUUCCUUCAUGAAUAUCGAGAGGCAAAUGAAUCAUGAUCGAAAGUAUUAAGAGGUAUGUGAUCCAUAUUUUGCAAUUGUUAUGUUCUAGCUAAG